UGCAUCGUUCCACUCUUGGUA
ensembl:piRNA 21ur-4752 ncRNA